rnacentral:rRNA from 1 species
CUGCGGCGGAUUAGGUAGUUGGUGAGGUAACGGCUCACCAAGCCGAUGAUCCGUAGGGGGCGUGAGAGCGUGGCCCCCCACACUGGCACUGAGACACGGGCCAGACUCCUACGGGAGGCAGCAGUGAGGAAUAUUGCACAAUGGGCGCAAGCCUGAUGCAGCAACGCCGCGUGAGGGACGAAGGCCUUCGGGUUGUAAACCUCUUUUCUGAGGGACGAGGAAGGACGGUACCUCAGGAAUAAGUCUCGGCUAACUACGUGCCAGCAGCCGCGGUAAAACGUAGGAGGCGAGCGUUAUCCGGAUUUACUGGGCGUAAAGCGCGCGCAGGUGGCUUCGUGAGUCGGACAUGAAAGCUCCUGGCUUAACUGGGAGAGGCUGUUCGAUACUGCGGGGCUUGAGGUUGGGAGAGGGACGCGGAAUUCCCGGUGUAGUGGUGGAAUGCGUAGAUAUCGGGAGGAACACCAGUGGCGCAAGCGGCGUCCUGGCCCACACCUGACGCUGAGGUGCGAAAGCGUGGGUAGCAAACAGGAUUAGAUACCCUGGUAGUCCACGCUGUAAACGAUGUCAACUGGGUGUCGGUAGUUUUACACUAUCGGUGCCGAAGCUAACGCG